UGCACAUUGACCUACCCCAGACUGGCAAUGUCAGUACUGACAGCUGCGCCCAUUGCCGAUAUUGAAGAAUGAUGACAAUUACUCUCUGUCGGGGGGGAGACAAUUGACUGGUUUAUAGAUGUAGUCUCUCGCAAAUUUCAACUGACAAUUUUUCUCUCUUCUUAAUUCUUCUUCACACUGUCACCGAGUUCGCGCGACCAUGAUAUCAAGCGUCGAGUCGAGUGUUAAAUCGCAUAAGUGAACGAAACUGAACGGAAACCGCGAAUUUCCGAACUCUACUGCACUCGGGUUUUAAGUGGUCUUACAUUGUAGCCGUUUCACAUUUAUCCUCUCGAGUCUCGGGCCCCUACUACGAAUGUAGUUUGCCCCAGAAGGAAGCCAGUAUAGGAAGUGGAAUGCUUAUUAUGUAUACUCCUAGUAUAGUGUUGUGCUUAGAUAAUUUUAAGAUUAGCUAGAUAAAGGCGAUCCAGGCGACCCGUUUAUACCCGGCUUACCAUUGGUCCCGGGAUGCCAUCCAGACCGCUUCUACCGGGAAUCCCGUCCAAACCGGGUUCACCAGGUACACCGUCUCUUCCGUCGAACCCUGGUGGACCGAUGUCGCCUUUGGGUCCUCUGACACCAGGAUGACCGGGUUGUCCAGGAGGUCCUUUCGGUCCCACCAUUCCCUGGAUACCAGGCAGACCCGGUUCACCAGGUGGACCUGGAUUUCCAGGAGCACCAGGAAGGCCCGGUGGGCAAUACUUUGCAGAUGAACGGCAAAAAUUCUCGAUCGCAUCGAACUGAAAAACAAGGUGACGGAACUUGUCGACGGAACAUCGCGGCAAAGCUCGAAGUUUGCACGAGAAUAUUGAGGGAAGGAUGUAUCGCGCGAAACAGGUAACUAGUUCUAACAAUCGCUAGAGAACUGACUUGUAUUCGCGUGUCGGCGUUCAACCAGACCCAGUCUUGACCUCCGGCCACUGUUGGCGAAGACGCAGAGCCAGAUACCAUGAUAGGGGAGGCUGUUACUUUCCUUGUACCUUGGAUUUCCUUAUCCUCCCGAAGCUGCAACCGAGCGAUCCAAGUAAUUCCGCGAUAUUAUACACAAGAGAUGUAUCUAAGAUAUCUUUAUGUACAAAAUUAAAUCGAGAAAUUUUAUCUCUUUGAAAAUCCCGAGAAAUUUA